GCUCAAAUCCCGGCUCCAUUUCUGUCCUUUGGAGCCUAUCACUCGAGAAAUUGCCCUUUAAGGGUUGUAUGAAACUGGGUGGUUCCCGCAAUGUCUUAUCCAUCAAUCCCUUGAUUGAAAGAUGGGAAGCUGGAUAUUCUGUGUUCAGCGCGUCCUGGAACUGCGUGGCCCCUUGCCUUCAAAACCCCAACUCUUCCCAAUCUUUCGAAAUGAUAUGAAUGGUGUGACCUGUUAUAUUCUUCUCCGGAUUGAGGACUACUAACUAGUCAACCUUGAGUGUAUCCCAGGCGGCAGAUUGCAGUUCACUUGCCUUAGAGAGUCUCCAUGCUGGCCAAUAUAUGCUCCUGAUCCUCAGUGCUGCUCUCUCUUCUGAAAAAAAAAAAAAAAAAAAAAAAAAAAAAAAAAAACAUGCAGAGCCUUCCUAUUUCUAUGCCAGUCUGUUCUAAUUUUACUAUUCAAUGGAUGUUGAGGGCACCAAUUUCUCUCUUACUCUAAGCUCUUUCACUUCUCAUCGUCGCCGCCAACAAUGUCGCGGCUUGGAUAUAAAAGGGCGCUCAUUUCCUGCUAUGAGAUUCUUCAAAUCAACCGUCGCAGAAUUUGUUCCAUUGUUGAAAUGGUAGUGUAACUAUCGAUUGGAUGCUGCGUCAUAUGGGACAAAACAACACUCCGCCAGCACGCUAGUGGCUGCUCACACUGCCAUGGAGAUAUCACGACGAUGGGUAUAGGAGGCUUGUUGGAAUGCAACAUUGGCGAAGGGGUAGUGGAGGCAGACGACUAUGUAUUUGCUUGUUCACGAGUAACUGGUUAUGCAUAUUCAAGAAUAUCUCAUCUCAGUGGAAUAUCAUGAAUCAUCCAACCCGUAUGCUACACCGGCAAAUGCGCCAUUAAAGCGAAUUGUAAAAUUAAUCAAGCG
rnacentral:sRNA from 1 species